rnacentral:rRNA from 1 species
AUACGUAGGGUGCGAGCGUUGUCCGGAAUUACUGGGCGUAAAGAGCUCGUAGGUGGUUUGUCGCGUCGUCUGUGAAAUUCCGGGGCUUAACUCCGGGCGUGCAGGCGAUACGGGCAUAACUUGAGUACUGUAGGGGAGACUGGAAUUCCUGGUGUAGCGGUGAAAUGCGCAGAUAUCAGGAGGAACACCGGUGGCGACGGCGGGUCUCUGGGCAGUAACUGACACUGAGGAGCGAAAGCAUGGGUAGCGAACAGGAUUAGAUACCCUGGUAGUCCAUGCCGUAAACGGUGGGCGCUAGGUGUAGGGGUCUUCCACGACUUCUGUGCCGUAGCUAACGCAUUAAGCGCCCCGCCUGGGGAGUACGGCCGCAAGGUUAAAACUCAAAUGAAUUGACGGGG